GUAGAUCAAGGUAGAUUAGGGAGCCGUGGCGUGGCCCCUGUUUUAAUUCUCCGAAGGCAAAGGCCAGUGGUUCGAAUCCACUUGGGUGCACCA
rnacentral:tRNA from 1 species